rnacentral:rRNA from 1 species
GAUGAACGCUGGCGGCGUGCCUAAUACAUGCAAGUCGAGCGAACGGACGAGAAGCUUGCUUCUCUUAUGUUAGCGGCGGACGGGUGAGUAACACGUGGAUAACCUAUCUAUUAGACUGGGGUAACUUCGGGAAACCGGAGCUAACACCGGACAAUAUUUUGAACCGCAUGGUUCAAAAGUGAAAGCCGGUCUUGCUGUCCCUUAUAGGUGGAUCCUCGCUGCAUUAGCUAGUUGGUAAGGUAACGGCUUACCAAGGCAACGAUGCAUAGCCGACCUGAGAGGGUGAUCAGCCACACUGGAACUGAGACACGGUCCAGACUCCUACGGGAGGCAGCAGUAGGGAAUAUUCCGCAAUGGGCGAAAGCCUGACGGAGCAACGCCGCGUGAGUGAUGAAGGUCUUCGGAUCGUAAAGCUCUGUUAUUAGGGAAGAACAGAUGUGUAAGUAACUGUGGACGUCUUGACGGUACCUAAUCAGAAAGCAACGGCUAACUACGUG